UACGGGGGGGGUAAGCGUUGUUCGGAAUUACUGGGCGUAAAGGGCUCGUAGGCGGCCAACUAAGUCGGACGUGAAAUCCCUCAGCCUUAACUGGGGAACUGGCGUCCGAUACUGGAUGGCUUGGAUUUGGGAGAGGGAUGCGGAAUUCCAGGUGUAGCGGUGAAAUGCGUAGAUAUCUGGAGGAACACCGGUGGCGAAGGCGG
rnacentral:rRNA from 1 species